rnacentral:piRNA from 1 species
UGAGUGUGUGUUUUUCACUUGAGGUCCUCUU